rnacentral:rRNA from 1 species
UACGUAGGGGGCUAGCGUUGUCCGGAAUCAUUGGGCGUAAAGAGCGUGUAGGCGGCCCGGUAAGUCCGCUGUGAAAGUCGGGGGCUCAACCCUCGAAAGCCGGUGGAUACUGUCGGGCUAGAGUGCGGAAGAGGCGAGUGGAAUUCCUGGUGUAGCGGUGAAAUGCGCAGAUAUCAGGAGGAACACCGAUUGCGAAGGCAGCUCGCUGGGACGUAACUGACGCUGAGGCGCGAAAGCGUGGGGAGCGAACAGG